rnacentral:lncRNA from 1 species
GUGGCCCCCGGGCGCACGCCUGGACAUCACUGUCCGUCUCGUCGUCGCCCCCUACGGCCUCAAAGACACACGCUCACUGCAUGUGCUCUUGGGGGACGUCAGUGCCACGUUUGGUCACACGGGCUGCAGCUAGGACUCGCCUCUGUCUGUCUUUGCCGGUGUCGCCGGAAGCUGCGUCGGGAUGCCGGAGCCCCCGGGCGUCGGAGAUGAAGCCGGUGGGAGCCAUCAACGGAUCCCAAGAGGAGUCCGCGCAGCCCAGCCAGCACCCCGAAGGUCCUCCUUCACCGGGAACAGAAGCAGGAGACCGAUCAAGGAGGUCCUGACGACAGGACUCCUAUGGGUCCGACCCUGAGUCUCCCGCAGGCCCCUCUGGUAGUCCUCUUCCCACCCUCUGCCUCGGGCUGCGCCGCAGUCCCCGCCGCAACCUCCAGCACCGCCACCCCAGUCCCCGCAGCCGCCAUGUCGCCGCCAUUUUUUAAAGGGUCUGCAGCCUGACUCUGCGGAGUAAGGGGGCGUGGGGCGGGUGAGUCGGCCUCGCCAGUGAGCAUGCGCGAGGCCCGAGCCGCCGCUGUGGUCACAGUGACCGCCACCGUUGCCCGGGGAUGGGUCCUUGAGACUUGGCUAAGCAGGCACCCUGUGUGAGCUUGGUCAGAGUCGGGGCUGAGACCAGUCCUGGCCAGGGCAGUUAACAGGAAGGUCUCCGGAGGCCGGGAUUCGCGGAGGGUCCAUCAGGAGGAAGAAACCUCAGACAGAUCUCCGGGGAGACAGCGCGGGAUCCCAGCCUCAGGCGUGCGCGGACAGUGUGCGGGGAGCAAAUAUACCACAUGAAACAUUGCAACUAUGAAUCUAACUAGACUGUACGGGCAACAUAUAUUGAAAGAUAAAUUAAAAUUGAAGGGAGUGUAUCCUGGUGUAUGACAGCAUAUAGUAGAGACCAGUGUCAAUUAGGGCCUGUGAACUGAGACAGGGUGACUGGCUAAGUCCACAACCCAUUAGAAACCCAGAAAUAAUCAAAUCAUGGAGAGAUUAGUCCAGGGACAAUAAAUAUGGAUUAGGGAAGAAUGUGUUAACUCAGCAGGCCAGGGUUUCUUCAACCCUGCACAUUCAAAGGUAAGGUUUGUUUUUAGGACUAGCUAGCUUCUGAGUUCUGGAAACAGUCUUACCGUGAAGAGUGUUUUUGUAUAUCUGAGGCCUUGGGUUUAUGGUGAAUGACUGACUUUAUAUGCCUGAGGCCCUGAGUCAUGCUGUAUUUAUCUGAACCAUGUGGUAUCAAUUUAACCAGAUACGUUUAUUCUAAGAUAUGAUUUAUGCUGAAAGCCUGCUUUUGUUCUAGAGGGAUCAUGGAAAGGAAGCUGAAUUUGCUGAGUUUUGCCACGUGGGCAUUGCAUGCCUAUGUGAUUAACCACCAAUAAAAACCUGGGACAUCAAAAAAUAAAUAAGCUGCUUUAAUUGCCAAGAAUUCACAUGUGGUUGUAUGCAGCAUUACUGGGAGAUUGAAGUGUAUCUGCAUGUGAUUCUACUGUGAUGGACACUUGUAAAUUUGUGCCUGGAGUCUCCUGGAAUUUGCCCUGAGAAUCUUUUUCCUUUGUUGAUAAGAAUCUGCAUCCUUUUGUUUUAAUAAACGAUAAACAUGAGUAUAAUU